UACGUAGGGUGCAAGCGUUGUCCGGAAUUAUUGGGCGUAAAGAGCUCGUAGGCGGUUUGUCGCGUCUGCUGUGAAAACCCGAGGCUCAACCUCGGGCCUGCAGUGGGUACGGGCAGACUAGAGUGCGGUAGGGGAGAUUGGAAUUCCUGGUGUAGCGGUGGAAUGCGCAGAUAUCAGGAGGAACACCAAUGGCGAAGGCGACUCUUUGGCCUGUAACUGACACUGAGGCGCGAAAGCGUGGGGAGCAAACAGG
rnacentral:rRNA from 1 species